rnacentral:ribozyme from 1 species
GUUGUUGUUGUUGUUGUUAUUUUAAGCAUCCGUUCACAACUACUCACGAUUUUCUUACCCCCCCCAACACAUUUUGUAGCACACGGCUGGAGGGCGAAUGAUUGGUGGCCGUCUUUCUUCCGUUCUGCUUGGAGGGA